CUUUCCGUCCCUAAAUUAGCUGGGGACCAUGUGUUAAAUAAAAACUAGUUAUUUCAGAAAUAGAGUUAAAUUCAAGAUUAUGUUUGAAUGAUAAUUGAGUUUUCGAAUUAAAAUUAAUAGCGUUUGGAUAGAUAAAAAUGAAAUUAGAAGAAUAGCAGGUAGUUAUAAAUAGAAAGUAAUAAUAUUAUUUCAAUUAUUAUAUUUGAAUUUAAAAAUUUUUAUUUUAUAUUUAAAAUUUCAAAUUUAAAUAGAUAACUUUUAAAAUAGAAAAAUUUAAGAUUAAAAUAUAAAAUUUUAAAUUUCAAAUUUAAAAAUUUAAAUUUUAAAUCAAAUCAAAAUUUAC
rnacentral:lncRNA from 1 species